UUAUAAGUCAUGCCAAAUUUACCUCGCAAAAAUGUCAAGGAGUAAGUUAGACAGGGUUACAGCAAGCAAAUAUGAGCCAAUUACAGCUGUAAUCAAUGGCCGUUUGCUGAACCUGUCUUCUGAGGGCCCUGCUCUCUCUCUUUUGGCUUCUUCUAAGCUCACUUCUGUAGUUUCUGAGGCCUCUGUAUGAUCUUUCCAGCUUCAGGAUUGCCUGAUUUACUCUGAUGACCUUUGUUACUCUGGCACAUAGCUUGCAACUCCACUAUGACCUCGCAGAGGCUUAGAGUAUCACAUCCCUUUGGCUGCCAUUGGCUUAGUACCUCUCAUCUCACAAUGGGGUUUUGCAAAGACACUAUCUGGCAGCUGGACUGAUAGGAUAAUGUUAGAUAAACCUGUUUUGAGAUCCAUGAACCAGUUCUACUAAAUGAAACAUAUACUUCGACUUAAUUGGACCUUGAACAAAUAUUCUACUAGAUUGGUACAGUAGUCUUGGCAGAAACAGACCACUUCUGCUGCUCAUACACACUAACAAAUGUAAAUGAAUAGGGACAUCUAGAGGAACUGCUUGGAAUUACAGAAUUUGGAAAUGACAGGACUUGCUAUGUAGUAAAUCUUCACUAGCUUUGCCAGUUGCCAUUUUGGCUGUGCAUCUUGUGACCCACCAGACUGAAUCAUCUCCAGCUGGGGUGGGAAAAGCUCCUGGUCUGAAACCCCAGAGUUCUGCUUUUCCACCCAGGGGCCACAUUCACUCCUGAGCACCCUUCUAGGGGCCAGUUUCUACACAUGCUCAUACAUCCUCCUCUAUUCUCCAUCCACCUAAGCAAGAGGCAUUGUCAAAGGACACAUUCGUGUCUGGCAAAAAAACACCCAAUGAGGCGUGAAGCCUAGCAAAAAUGUAUCAUACUCAUGUUUAUAAAUGCUGGAAAUGUAAGGAAAAAGAAGGAACCUUUUACCACAUGUGAUGGACGUGCCCCAAGGUAAAAGACUUCUGGGAAAGGCUUUAUAAUGAACUGAAAAAAGUGUUGAAAAACACAUUAAGAAACCAGAAGCCUUUUUACUUGGUAUAGUGGGGCGUGAAAUCCCCCAAAAGGAUGUUACUUUUUUUCUGUAUGCCACAACAGCUGCAAGAAUAUUACUAGUGAAGAAUUGAAAGAAACAAGAUUUACCAACUAUCGAAGAAUGGCAGAUGAAGAUGAUGGACUAUAUGGAACUUGCCGAACUGACUGGGAGACUCUGGGACCAGAGAGAAGAGACGGUGGAAGAAGACUGGAAGAAGUUUAAAGAAUAUUUGAAAAAAUAUGUUAAUAUUUAAAUCUUAGAAUAGCUUUGGAUGUGGAUAUAGGCUGUAGGGUUAGAAGUAGAAGAUAGUGUAUUUUAAAACAGUAUUAUUUGUAAGGGAUAUUAUGUAAAGAUUUUAAUGGUAUAAGUAAGUGAUUAAAAAAAUGGUUAAAAAUUAUGAUAUAUGUAAAAACUGCUAAAGAUGAGGUAAAAUGAAAAUCAGAUAGG